AUUCCAGCUCCAAUAGCGUAUAUUAAUGUUGUUGCAGUUAAAAAGCUCGUAGUUGGAUUUCUGGAUUGAGCGGCUGGCCUUGCGCGCAAGCGUUCGUGUCGGCUUCGUUUCGGUCAUCCUCAGGGGGACUUGCGCUGGCAUUAACGUGUCGGUGUUGGGACGCCUGUCGUUUACUGUGAACAAAUUAGAGUGUUCAAAGCAAGGUGUACUUGAAUACAUUAGCAUGGAAUAAUAAGAUAGGACUUUGGUGGUUCUUUUUGAUAUUUUGUUGGUUUGCACGCCAAAGUAAUGAUUAAUAGGAGCAGUUGGGGGUAUUCGUAUUCAAUUGUCAGAGGUGAAAUUCUUGGAUUUAUAGAAGACGAACUACUGCGAAAGCAUUUACCAAGGAUGUUUUCAUUA
rnacentral:rRNA from 1 species